AUUGAACGCUGGCGGCAUGCCUUACACAUGCAAGUCGAACGGCAGCACGGGUGCUUGCACCUGGUGGCGAGUGGCGAACGGGUGAGUAAUAUAUCGGAACGUACCUUAUUGUGGGGGAUAACGCAGCGAAAGCUGUGCUAAUACCGCAUAAUCCCUAAGGGGGAAAGCGGGGGACCGUAAGGCCUCGCGCAAUUAGAGCGGCCGAUACCUGAUUAGCUAGUUGGUGAGGUAAAGGCGCACCAAGGCCACGAUCAGUAGCUGGUCUGAGAGGACGGACGGCCACACUGGGACUGGGACACGGCCCAGAACCCUACGGGCGGCAGGAGUGGGGAAUUUUGGACAAUGGGGGCAACCCGGAUCCAGCAAUGCCCGGUGAGGGAAGAAGGCCUUCGGGUUGUAAAGCUCUUUUGUCAGGGAAGAAACAGCAGCGCUAACACAGUUUGCGAAUGACGGUACCUGAAGAAUAAGCACCGGCUAACUACGUGCCAGCCGCCGCAGUAA
rnacentral:rRNA from 1 species